AGCGGGGAGCCUGCUUCCCCCCGCCCUCUCUGCCUGCCUCUAUGCCUACUUGUGAUCUCUCUCUCUGUCAGAUGAAUAAAUAAAAUCUUAAAAAAAAAUUAUUCUUUGAUGUUGCUCCUCCAUCUUGCAUCCUUGCUGAAUUCAUUAGUUUUAGUAGUUUUUUGGGUAGAUUCCUUAGGAUUUUCUAUAUCCAAAAUCAUGUCAUCCACUAAUGGAGAUAGUUUUACUUCUUCCUUUCUGGAUGCCGUCUAUUUCAUUUUCUUGCCUAAUUGCCCUGGCUACAACCUCUAAUAGUAUAUCUUAAUCUCUGACAUCUCUCUCUCUCUCUCUUUUUUUUUUAUAGUGCCAUUUAUUUGUGGAAACAGCUAGGUUAUUUGUAGUAUAGAAAUGGCCACAUUCUGAAUUUGGCUGAUUACUUCCUUGUGGUAUCUUGUCUGAUUGUCCCUCUCUCUUUCCUGGAUUGGACUGAGAUUACAAUUCAAUUAAAAGCUAAGGUUCAACUCAAUAAAGAACCGUAGGGUGAAGAUUAGAUAUGUCCAGGAGCCAGAUUUAACCACAUGGCUCUUGGUUUUGGCCUCUGCUCUAGAAAAAAGCUUUAUGGAGGGGAAGGAGAGGGGGAAAAGGACUGGCCCUUCCUCUGUGGCCCUUCCUCUGCUGGAGAAAGCCUGUGGCUGUGUUCCACAAGGGCCCUAAUGUGGGUGGGAGGCCCGAGGCCUGGACAGCCCUCUGCUUCCGGCUGUGUGACCGACCCAGCCUGGGGCUGAGAAUCCUCAUUCUCC